UUGCACCACUGCACUCCAGCCUGGGCGAUACAGUGAGACCCAGUCUCAAAAAAAAAAAAAAAAGAGUCUUUUUUGAUGGUGGACAUCUUCCAAUGAGCAUUCACAUGGGACAGAUUUUUUUUUAGUUCUACCGUUGUUCUGAAAGCUCUAUGUAUGUUCCUCUUCCCUAAAAAUCUUUGUCACCAAGCCUCCAGAUUUAUUCCUUCUAAAAUGUUGAAAUUCCAGCUAAUUCCUUAGUUGUUACCCAGGAAACAAUGCAGAUCCUGGUCCGAGGAUGCAGCUCCUUCCAGGCAGCCUGGACUGUGAGGUGUGCUCCAUUGCUCUUCAGGAACCGUCCUUGAGAGGCGUUCCACAGCAGGCCAGACCUGGGGGGAGCAGGUGGGCCAGGCGGAAAGCACAGCACAAUUUGAGAGAUGCUGAGUACUCAUGACUCUGUGUAAGCACCUGAAUUCAGCCCUCAUGGUCUUUUCUGAGCUGUCAGUCAUUUAUCUCUAUUUAGUCAUUUUGCGAAUUGGAGUUAGCUUCCUUCCCUCUACACUCAAAGACGGCAUGUCAACAUUUUAGGCCUCUGGGUGGAAUGAACUCCCAGUUUCCUGGGAGGGAGCUGAUUGGCAUCUAUUCGCCUCUUCCUAGUUUUGUGGGGUUUCCCAGCAUGUGGAGUCAUAGAGAAAGACUGGUCCCACCUUCUAUGUAAUGCCCAAGAGAAUAGAUGACUCUCUGUCCACCCCCACCCUGGCAUCCAGGGCUUCUGGACAAGACCUAGGCUGGCUAAUUGGCUGCUUCCACAUGGGAUCCUGAAUCUGGAGCAAGUGAGGCAAAGCCCAGGGUGCUUAGAAUCCAUUCUCAGUGAGAGCAGCAGGACUGCCCGGGAGGGGAAUAGAGACGGGGACGACCGAGUCCUGCACCAGCAGAGAUGACGUCCGCAGGUGGCGGGGCAGCGCUGUGGCCGUGUCACUCCUCACAAAGCAGGGCUCUUGUGCUCGCAGCCUUCGAUACCGUCUCACUGUCUUGGCUUCUAUUUAUCUUCCAAGCCAAUUUCCAGCCUCCUACACACGUGGGGUUCUUCUGGUAUCAUUCCAGUGAAUUUCAUGUUGUUUUCUGCCCUAAGAAAACAGAGUUGGUACCUCUGCUCGACCAAGAAGCCUGAUUGAUACAGACUGAGAGCUGCAGGCUGUGUUUAUUUGCUUCAUUAACAAGAACAACUUAGGAAUGGCAACUUCCAUUGAUGAGCUUCCUACUUUGUUCUGCGGUUGGAAAACAAACAGUUGUUUCCCUGUUGACGACUGGCCACACUGGAGAGGUGAACAGUUCACUCUCAAGGCCAUACUGACUUGAACACUGGCUGUCUAGAAACAGAGAGGCAGGCAGCGGCAGACAGGAAGAGAGAUGGAGCAGAGUCCUCCAGCGGGAGCUGCACCUCGGAAGCAUCCUUAGAUGCGGCUUGGAGUUGGGAUCCUUCAAUUCCCCUCAGGAAGGAACCAGAUUGGGGCCAACCUUUCAGACGGAUGUCCAUGGGAUGCUCGAGCUGCCUUUCCCCAACAAGUGGUGUCAACAGGGAUCUGGAGAGGUCGUGUGCUGGCCUCCAGGGGGUACCCCAGGGAACGGUGGGAUGUGAGAGUGACAGACCAGGAGGAUGGGGGCCUUUAUCAGUCAAGUGCUGUUCUGUCCCCACCAUCCUUUAGCUGGUGAAUAAUCUCAGGGGGAUUAUUAAAAGCCCAGAAGCAAAGAAGCAUUUGAAAGGUCCGUAUCUAGGAGUCUGGUUUCUCAGAGGAUCAGGGAGGGAUAAGAUUGGCUAAAAGACAGAUUUGGGACUUACUAUCAGAAAAGAAUCACUAGGAAAAUCUAAUAUUGGUACAUGGAAAAGCAACAUGUGGAUUGAAUGAUGGGAUUUCCUGUGAAGAAAAGGUAAGGCAUGCAAGCCAGACAGGACAGAAUGAUGGGCGAAAAUCAAGCCACGCACCUCAAACUCCUCUCGAGCUGAGAUCCAGAAAGACAGGGGCAUGGAAUUGCUGCUGGGUCUGGCAGGGGGCAAGAGCCAAACAGAUGAAGGGUACAUGUGACUGCCAUUCAGGGCCACGAUAGAGGAAAUGAUCAGAAGUCACUUUCUAGAGGCUGUAGAUGGGAGUUUGAUAAGGACCAUGGGGGACAGCUGAGAUCUGGGCAGAUUUGAGAAGGGAGAGCAGAACAGACUGCGUCAAAAGUGGAUCCGUGAGUUUCCUGGCGACCCAGGUAUAGAAGGGAUGCAGGAGUGGCCUGUACUUUCAGAAGCACAUGCAGGAGGAUGCUGGUCUGGGACUGGAGAUGAAAGAGGUCCAGAGAAAAUGGGACACGCUCAGACAGGGGAGCUGUGGGUGGAGUUCAGGACAAAGUCUGAUGUAAGGCUCAUGGAAGACCUUCCUGAAGGAAUUGCCCCUCUCCAGGAAGUAAGGAGGGUGGAUUUGUUUCCACAGUGGGAAUUCCUGGCAGGUCCAGAACUUCUUGACUUUCUGUCUCUCAAUACUGUAGACCUGCAAGAUGGAUAACAGAGGCAUUAGGGAAACUGAUGCCUACGCCACAAAGUUUAAAUACAGCACAAGGAAAGAAGCUACUUUGAUCCAGAAAACACUGCUAACCCCAUCCAAGACUGAGAUGGAGCAGGGCCCUAUGGGGUGAGAUAAGCGUCUGAGGAGCAGGCUGCAGGGAGGAAUGUUCCAGCUGCCACUGAAGCAACACACGAGGCUGAGGCUUGAAAGCUCAAAGGCCGAGGGAGCCGUAGCUUUGGGAAGGAGCAGCUGAUGGGGACGAUGGGUCACCUAAGCCGAGCUGUACCCUCGUCUGCUCCACCUCGAGUUUGAAUUCAACAAGUCUAUUGCUCCAGUGUUUUCUGAAUUAUCUGCAUAUUCAGAAUUCAGCCUGCGGAGCCUCAGCUCUUCUGAAUAUUUAAAUGACGCUCAGUUGCGAUCUGCAUCUCUCAUCAUGGUGUCUGACCCAAAGAUCACAAAGCUGAAGUCUAGCAAAUGACAGGAAGAACUAAGAGAAAGUGCUGCUGCAAAAAGAGUUUAAUGAGAGGGAAACUGAGGCUCUGAGAGAGGAGUGACUUGUCCAGGGUCCUGUGAUGGGAGACUGAGCAGAGUGGGAAUGAGACUGAGUUGGAGUGGAGUUGGCCUCCACUCUGUUUACUAAGAGCUGUGUGUCCCUAGGUAAGUCACUUUCCCUCUCUGGGCCUCAGGUUUUUUACCUGAUAGAUGGGCUUAGAGUCUCUUCUGCUGAUCCCCCAGGGUUGCAGGCAGCCAGUGAGGUUCUGAGUACUGUAGAGGGGAUGCUCUCAGCAGUAGUGGCGGUGGUAGGGAGUUGGGAUUGCAAACCCAGAGGCCAGCAGAGGCCAGGCAGGAACUGGAUUGAACUGGAAACUCAAGCUGUCCACUUGGGUCCAGUCAGGAUGGAUACUGAUAGAAGUGGGGGUCUCAUGUUGCCCACCUCAUGUUUAAGAAGAUUCUAGAAUUAUAGAUUAUUUGAUGUGAAAUUUCCUUAAAUGUAAAUGUUGGUAAAUAAAGUAACUAUUUAAACGAUAUACAUGCAAACACACAUUUGCACACACACGCCUUACACACAAUGGCUGGUCAGAUUUAGUGCAUAGCCAGCCAGCUGGUUUUCUGCUUUGGAAUUAUAGGCUGCUAAUUUUUUUAUUUUUUCUAGACAUGGUCUUGCUUUGUCACCCAGGCUGGAGUGCAGUGGCGUGAACACAGCUCAUUGCAGCCUUGACCUCCUGAGCCCAAACAGUCCUCCCAUCCCAGCCCAGCCCAGCAAAUAACUGGGAUGACUGGCAUGUACCACCAAGACUCACUAAUUGUUGUAUGUUUGUAGAGACGGGGUUUCACCAUGUUGCCCAGGCUGGUCUCAAACUCCAGAGCUCAGGAAAAACAUUAACAUCUGCCAUUUUUCUAAAUUGAAUGUGAAAGAUGAUCCUGACAGGCUGAACAAAGAUGCUUGCUCUCUGUUGUGAUGUUUGACAAGGGAAUCUUCCUUCAUUUUCUCCUCUGAUGAGCCUCUCUACCAGAUAAGCAGCAGCAGGAACCAAACGUUUAAGAAAAAUGUAAAGACAUUAUUUUGUCCAUCACUUAACAUUUUUAUGAACAAGUUGGGAGGUAGCCUGCAUGAAUGCCUCUGUGCAAUGGAAUGAAUGGCCGGAGAUCUCACCAUCCCAGGAUGACUUUGGGGAAGGAAGACCCAAACAGCCCACUAUCACAUGCUGUCCUGCCUGCCUCAGGCCUCCUGUCCUUCUCUCCCUUGUGACCUGCAAACUAACCUUGAGGACUCAUGUCAACUGUCACUGCAUUGGAAGCCCUCUGUGAUAGUUAAUAUUGAGUGUCAACUUGAUUGGAUUGAAGGAUGCAAAGUAUUGUUCCUGGGUGUGUCUGUGAGGGUGUGGC
rnacentral:lncRNA from 1 species